rnacentral:lncRNA from 1 species
CCUAUCUAUCUAUCUAUCUAUCUAUCUAUCUAUCUGAGAUAAUCUGUCUCUUUUAAUAUUUGUUUUGUACUCUGCAGAAUGGAUGUGCAAUGAUUCAAUUAAAGACUAUAGAACUUACGUAAGUAAUAGUCAAAGUAAUUGCUUCUGGUUUGGUGGUUUGUCAUGGAUGUUAACUCUGUUAUUGGAAGGGAAUAAAUGGCUACAUGUACAAAUUAAAUAAAUGGAGGUCGUGUGUGGGCCAGCUUAGCACAUCUGUGGUCAAUUGAGGAGAAAAAAGAAAGACUAUUUUAUUCGUUUUCAUGGUUAAUUACUCAAUUAAUGAAUUAAUGUAUAAUGUAUUAUUCAAUUUAAUAUGAGUCACAGUUGAUUUGAACCCUCCUUGUUAAAGACACAAUUUUGUCACCUUCCAACAGUAAAAUGGGCUUAAUAUGAAGUAUUAUAUUAAUUAAUCUAUGUAGGAGACAUUGUGGCCAGUUCAUGAAACACACAUAUUGUCUGUGGAAAGUAAUUCUAUGGAGAAAUGUUAGAGAUAUUCAAAGGUCUUGUUUCAAGAUUUUAUGACCUCUAGGUCUUCAUUUUAUCUUUGUUAGUGAAGUAAUGAUUUAGUAAAGACACAGCCAUGAUUGGAGAUGAUGAAGGCCAGCCCUGGACCAAUGAUGAUGACUGGUGGAGUAUGAGUCAUGAACGAUGAAUACUUGUCUGGAACUCUGAGGUCCAGCCCGAUAAGCCACCUGGUCUGCAACAUCUCUGAGAAGUUAUUCUACGGAGUGGGUGCUCCAGGUCAAUGUAAGCAUCUUCAAGAGUCCUGCUCUCUCUGGCCGCCUCAACGUGUCCGGAACAUGGAGACUGAUGUGAGUGUAGGCAAAGCUUCAUCGUGGUUUGGGUGUUUUUAAAGGGUAUCCACCGUAUUGUUGGUCCAAGGAGACCAACAGUGGUUCACUGAUAAAUAUGACGGUGUCAUGAACAUUAUGUUGAUGAAGUAAUACUUGCAAACUUAAGAGUGAUUAAAAAAGAGAUGUAGUCCACAUGGUAAAUGAUCCUAUUGAGAGCUCUUAAGGAACUUAAAGAUCGUGUGUUAAGUUUUUGCAAUUCAGUUAUUUAAUUCUUAUGGAAAGGAAGAAUUAAUCAAUAAACAAAUGAAGAAAUCAGUGGAGAAGAAGAGGGCCAGUUCUUGACCAAGGGUGACGACUGGUGGCACAUGAGUCGUAAGUCGCCCAUGGUGACUACUACGUGCUGGAAACGUUGAGGCCCAACAUAAAAACGAGACCUAGCCGAUCACCUCUGUGGGAAACGAUCCUGCAGACAGAUCUAGGAUUUAUUUCACAAGGGUCUUUUUCUGGGGUCUCCGUGCUUAUGGAUUUUGAUUCUAUUAUAGCCAAUGAAUCAAUAAAAGAAAUAAAUAAAGACGAAAAGGGGGCCAUAUCCUCCAAUUAUGAAGAAAUAUAGGAAGGCAAGAAAUAAUAUUAAAUAUUGAAACACUAAGUCAGGUAAGAAAUAAAUGGUCCAGGAGUUCCCUGGUGGUUCAGUGGGUUAAGGAUCUGGAGUUGUCACUCUUGUGACUUGGGUCACUCCUGUGGCACAGGUUCAGUCCCUAGACUGGGAACUUCCACAUGCCUUGGACCAUAAGUGGUCCAAGGGUGUUUCCUCUAGCUAGGAAUGCUGUAGAUGAUAUAAAUAAUGGCCAAUAGUAUUGUUCUGGUGUAGUGGAAAGUUCAGCGUGGCUUGUUUUCUCAGGAAAAAGUUAUAUGUUACCUCCAAUUAAUAUGUAAUAUAAUCACUGAAUAAAGAUCAAUAGAGGAAACAUCUCAAUCAUGUAAUCACCUACUCUGCUUUCUACAUUUGAUAAAAAUUUUUUUUUGAUCUUUUCAGGGCCUCACUCAUGGCAUAUGGAAGUUUCCAGGCUAGGGGUUAAAUUGGAGCUGUAGCUGUAGCUGUAGCUGCAGAGCCAUAGUGACACGGGAUCUGAGCUAUGUCUGUGACCUAUACCACAGCUUGUGGUAAUGCUGGAUCCUUAACCCACUGUGCGAGGCCAGGGAUUGAACCUGUAUCCUCAUGGAUACUAGUCGGGUUCAUUAUCACCGAGACACAAUGGGGACUCCCUACUUUCUACAUUUUAGAAUGGACACACUCAGGCUGAUUUAAGCAUGAGCCUUGGUCUACAGUCUAUGAAUUAGCCUGCACGUGAAAACCAAUGUGAGUAAAAUAUUUUAAAAAAUAUUCAGCAUGGGAGUUCCCAGGUGGCACAGCAGAUUAAGGAUCUGGCAUUGUCAUUGCUGUGGCACACAUUUGAUCCUUGGCCAGGAACUCCAAGCAUG